rnacentral:pre_miRNA from 1 species
AUAUUACUCCCUCCGUCUGGAAAUACUUGUCGGAGAAAUGAAUAAAAAUGGAUGUAUCUAGAACUAAAAUACAUCUAGAUACAUCCAUUUCUCCGACAAGUAUUUCCGGACGGAGGGAGUACUUA